rnacentral:rRNA from 1 species
UACGAAGGGGGCUAGCGUUGCUCGGAAUCACUGGGCGUAAAGCGCACGUAGGCGGAUUGCUAAGUCAGGGGUGAAAUCCUGGAGCUCAACUCCAGAACUGCCUUUGAUACUGGCGAUCUCGAGUCCGGGAGAGGUGAGUGGAACCGCGAGUGUAGAGGUGAAAUUCGUAGAUAUUCGCAAGAACACCAGUGGCGAAGGCGGCUCACUGGCCCGGUACUGACGCUGAGGUGCGAAAGCGUGGGGAGCAAACAGG